rnacentral:rRNA from 1 species
CCUACGGGAGGCAGCAGUGAGGAAUAUUGGUCAAUGGACGAGAGUCUGAACCAGCCACGUCGCGUGAAGGAUGACUGCCCUAUGGGUUGUAAACUUUUUUUAUAUGGGAAUAAAAUGUUCAAAGCGUAGGAUUUUGUAUGUACCAUAUGAAUACGGAUCGGCUAACUCCGUGCCAGCAGCCGCGGUAAUACGGAGGUUCCGAGCGUUAUCCGGAUUUUUUGGGUUUAAUGGGAGCUUAGGUGGAUUGUUAAGUCAGUUGUGAAAGUUUGCGGCUCAACCGUAAAAUUGCAGUUGAAACUGGCAGUCUUGAGUACAGUAGAGGUGAGCGGAAUUCGUGGUGUAGCGGUGAAAUGCUUAGAUAUCACGAAGAACUCCGAUUGCGAAGGCAGCUCACUGGACUGCAACUGACACUGAGGCUCGAAAGUGUGGGUAUCAAACAGGAUUAGAUACCCUAGUAGUC